GUAACAGUGUACAGUGAAAGCACCUUGGAUUAAGGCAAAGAACCUUGUCAGGUAAGUGUAACAGUGUACAGUGAAAGCACCUCGGAUUAAGGCAAAGAACCUUGUCAGGUAAGUGUACAGUGUACAGUGAAAGCACCUCGGAUUAAGGCAAAGAACCUUGUCAGGUAAGUGUACAGUAUUUGUGGUGGCGGUGUGAAAGCACCUCGGAUUAAGGCAAAGAACCUUGUCAGGUAAGUGUACAGUGUACAGUGAAAGCACCUCGGAUUAAGGCAAAGAACCUUGUCAGGUAAGUGUACAGUAUUUGUGGUGGCGGUGUGAAAGCACCUCGGAUUAAGGCAAAGAACCUUGUCAGGUAAGUGUACAGUAUUUGUGGUGGUGGUGUGAAAGCACCUCGGAUUAAGGCAAAGAACCUUGUCAGCAAUGUCCAGUCCAGAACAGAGAUUCUUUAGAAAUCUGUGGACUCCUGUGAAUACUGCAGUAUACGUACAUGCAAAAGCUAUUGUUAGGGAGAAGCAGGACAUCAUAAAUUCUGUAUAGUUCACUAUAUGUUGAUAUAUGAGCAGUAAACUUUUCAGUAGCUAAGCAUGGCCACCACUUAGACCCAAAUAGCUUUCUGGGUAUGUACAGGCAUGCAGCUCGGGGUGGGCACACGGGUUGUGCCCCUUCCACUCUACCACAAAAAGCACUUUCCACUAUAUCUAUGACUGCACAUCCCCUCCACAGCUAUUCAGAUUGUUUGUUAUGGUUAUCAGACUUCACCUUUCCUUUUCUAGACAUACAGUGCCUUCAAUUAAAUAAUUUCUUUUGUUUAA